UUUUCCCCUUUUCUUUUCUCCUCUUUAUGCAUACCAUUUCUUCCUCUCUCUCUCUCUUCUUCUUCCUUCUUCCUCUUUUACAAAUCGUAACAAUGAUCUUCCAAAAAAACAAAUCCAGAUCUGUUAUCUUUGUUUGAUUUAUUGCAUAUUUGGUGGUAGAAGUGAUUGUAGAUUUUUUGGUUUUGUAUAGAUUUGUAUAAAUAUGUCUCUAACAUUUUGAUUUUUAGAUUUUUUUGUUCUAUCUUCUUGUGUUGCUUCCUGCUCAGAUCUGCAUUGGUUUUUUAUUGUUGCUUCCUGCUCAGGUCUGGAGUUCGUCCUCACAUUGGAUAACACCAAUUGCCAUGACACUAUCAGCAAUCACGAUUUCGUCAUCGUCGAGUUUUACGCCUUAUGGGAUAUCAUGCUCUCUUUUGGCGACAGGUUGCUUGUGUUCUGCAUCUUGCAUAAGGUGUCUCAUCCUAUGCGAUACCAGACAUUAGCAUCUACUGAGUUUUUUGCUGGCACAAAUUUUCGAGCAAUCGAGGAAGAAGUCAGAAAAAGUUACCAUCGAUAUUCAAGUCACAAUGGGUUUUUCAAUUAGACAGGUUAUUUUACAAGAGAUUAAGAACUAUAAUGUAUCUUGGAUUGUACUUGAUAGACACCUUUGGCGGGACAUGAGAUUUCAUCUUACCAAGAUACCAUGUAAGGUAUAAGCGUAAAAGGAGAAUAUCGACAUCUCAUUACAUCUCAUAUUGGUCAAAAGCAAAACCAAUAUGGCUUUCUAUCAAAAUUUUCAGAUGCACCAAUCCUAUCUGUUGGAUAUGGAAUAAGGGUAGAGUUAUCUAUCAAAGAGUCAAAUAGGUUAAGCUAUUAUGAAAUAUAACUUGCAACAAAUGAUUUUUCAAAGGAUAACUUAAUAGGUGAAUGUGGAUAUUGUUGAAUUGUAAUUCCUUGUGUCGAAGCAGGUUGCUCGACAGAAGCAAGGAAGUGUCGAACCACCUAGUGUGUUGAGUAAUGUUAGCUAUUUUCGGCUUUUAUAAUUUUGGGCUUUAGUAGUUUUAGGCUUUGACUUAAGGUCCAAGUUAACCUAAAUCUAUAAAUAGAGGGAGUAACCCUUAUUUUUGUAAUAGAGGUGAAUAAAGUAUUCAUAACA